AUUGAACGCUGGCGGCAUGCCUUACACAUGCAAGUCGAACGGCAGCACGGGGGGCAACCCUGGUGGCGAGUGGCGAACGGGUGAGUAAUGCAUCGGAACGUGCCCCGUAGCGGGGGAUAACCAGUCGAAAGACUGGCUAAUACCGCAUACGCUCCACGGAGGAAAGCAGGGGAUCGCAAGACCUUGCACUAUGGGAGCGGCCGAUGCCCGAUUAGCUAGUUGGUGAGGUAAAGGCUCACCAAGGCGACGAUCGGUAGCUGGUUUGAGAGAACGACCAGCCACACUGGGACUGAGACACGGCCCAGACUCCUACGGGAGGCAGCAGUGGGGAAUUUUGGGCAAUGGGCGAAAGCCUGACCCAGCAACGCCGCGUGAGGGAGGAAAUCCUUCGGGA
rnacentral:rRNA from 1 species